AGCGAACGCUGGCGGCAGGCCUAACACAUGCAAGUCGAACGAACUCUUCGGAGUUAGUGGCGGACGGGUGAGUAACACGUGGGAACGUGCCUUUUGGCUCGGAAUAACUCAGGGAAACUUGUGCUAAUACCGAAUGUGCCCUUCGGGGGAAAGAUUUAUCGCCAUUAGAGCGGCCCGCGUCUGAUUAGCUAGUUGGUGAGGUAACGGCUCACCAAGGCGACGAUCAGUAGCUGGUCUGAGAGGAUGACCAGCCACACUGGGACUGAGACACGGCCCAGACUCCUACGGGAGGCAGCAGUGGUGAGUCUUGCGCAAUGGGCGAAAGCCUGACGCAGCCAUGCCGCGUGAAUGAUGAAGGUCUUAGGAUUGUAAAAUUCUUUCACCGGGGACGAUAAUGACGGUACCCGGAGAAGAAGCCCCGGCUAACUUCGUG
rnacentral:rRNA from 1 species